rnacentral:rRNA from 1 species
AUGCCGGACGGGAUAAACAGCACGGUCAUUGUUUUGAUCCCCAAGAUUGACUCGCCGUCCCGACUCACUGAUUUUCGGCCUAUCAGUCUCUAUAAUGUCAUAUAUAAGGUGAUAGCCAAAUGCCUGGUCAAUAGAUUGAGGCCUAUUUUGGAUGAGUUGGUGUCCCCAGAGCAGAGCGCCUUUGUACCAGGCAGAUUAAUUACAGAUAAUGCAUUAAUCGCUUUUGAGUGUUUUCAUGCGAUCAAACAGGAGAAGGACCCGGAGCAGAGCUUUUGUGCCUAUAAACUAGACCUGUCCAAGGCUUACGAUCGGGUAGAAUGGGUUUUCUUGGAGCGAGUGAUGCAAUAG